UGAAGAAUCCAGGCCCACCUGAGGGUCC
rnacentral:piRNA from 1 species